rnacentral:ncRNA from 2 species
CACUCAUCGAGACCGGCGGAGGGACAGGCCCUUGGAUGCCGGGGCAACCUGCGAGGAUGUAUUUCGCGACGGUGCCAACUCCUGCGGAGGUGCCGGAUCGGCAUCAACCGGUAGAUGGGCG